GCCCGAGUGAUGAAAUUGGUAGACAUGAACGACUCAAAAUCGUUUGGUUUAUACCAUGUCGGUUCGAGUCCGACCUCGGGUA
rnacentral:tRNA from 2 species